rnacentral:tRNA from 1 species
GCUCAGUUGGUUAAGCGUCUGACUCUUGGUUUCCGCUCAGGUCAUGAUCUCACAGUUUGUGGGUUCGAGUCCCAUAUUGGGCU